rnacentral:lncRNA from 1 species
CAUUAGAUGUUCUCUCACUCUUUCUCGUCUUCAAGCACACACUCGAAUAAUCUUGCUCUCUCUCUCUCUCUUGCUCUCUAGGAUGCCUAUAAAAGGCCAACUUUGCAACACUAAAUAGCAAGCUAGCAACUUUGCAUGAGUUUUUUAUUUGCUAAGUAGAUUUGAGAAAAUAAAAUCAGUGAGAAGAUGAGUACUGGAACUGGCCUUAGCAACCAUGCCUUCGCUAUGCCCGGGCUCGGAGGACAUGAUCAAACCAGUAAGAACAACACCACCUGUCAGUUCCAGAUGCCUCUGCACUACCCGAGGUACCAGAAGCGCGACUACGAGACCAUGCAGGAGUGGAAACUGGACUGCCUUCUGAAACAGUAUGGCCUGCCAGUCAUUGGAGAUGUCAACCAAAAGAGGAAGUUUGCCAUUGGGGCCUUCCUUUGGCCUUCCCAGUAUGAAUGAGAAACAAUAGUAUAAUAGCUUUGGUAUCGUAUCCUAUAUAAUAUUACUUAUGACUAGCAGUAUCCUUAAGUACUGUAUGUGUUUUCUGUAAUAUAUUAAUCUGUCCUUUUGUAUUUAAUGUAAUCAAAUAAGGUUUGCAACUUAAAUGUGUUAUGUUUGCUGCAAUUACUUGAUCAGACUAUAACAGCUUCACCAUUUCAUG